rnacentral:tRNA from 1 species
AACGUUGUAGCUCAAUGGAAGAGCGACCCUUUUUUAUUUAGGGGAGGCCAUGAGUUCAAUUCUCAUCAACGGUACAA